rnacentral:tRNA from 2 species
GCCAACGUGGCACAGACGGUAGCGCAGUUGAUUCGUAAUUAACAGGUCGAGGGUUCGAGCCCCUCCGUUGGCUCCA